rnacentral:rRNA from 1 species
UACAGAGGUCUCAAGCGUUGUUCGGAUUCAUUGGGCGUAAAGGGUGUGUAGGUGGCGCCGUAAGUCGGGUGUGAAAUUUCGGAGCUUAACUCCGAAACUGCAUUCGAUACUGCGGUGCUUGAGGACUGGAGAGGAGACUGGAAUUCAUGGUGUAGCAGUGAAAUGCGUAGAGAUCAUGAGGAAGACCAGUGGCGAAGGCGGGUCUCUGGACAGUUCCUGACACUGAGACACGAAAGCGUGGGGAGCAAACAGG